UAUUUACACCCCAGUAAUCCGCUCCUGUCAGCCUGAGCUGGACCUAGUGACUUGCUUCUAACAGCGCAUGAAAACAAGUGAUGGAAUGUCACUCCCAAGGUUUGGUUACAAAAGACUGUGACUUCUGACUUGCUUGCCCUGUCAAUAUCUCUCUACUGUGCCCUCUCACCUUCCAGAGCUCAUGCUCUGAAGGAAGCAAGCUAUUCUGUUGUGAUUAACGCUGCGGAGAGAACCACGUGACAGAGGAUUAAUGUGUCUGACCAGUAGCCAGCUGGGACCUGAGGCUGCCUGAUUUCCCAACAGGAGUGAGCUCGAGAGUGAAAUGCUCGCAGUGGAGCCGUCUCCACUGCUGACACUGCAGCCUGUUGAGAAGACCCGGUGUCAGAGUUUCCCAGCUAGGCCAUGCCCAGGCUCCUAGCCCCGAGAAAUGGUUUUAGUCUUACAUCCCUGGAAUGUGUUCUCUUCGCAUGUUGCCUUCACACACCACCAGCAAUGGGAGGACAGCCAGGAGCCCUGGGUGAAGCAACCAGAGGGUCCCAUUCAGCAAGGAAUGUUCAUCCCUCCUCCAGCAGAGCCUGAGCCUCAGGGGAGCAUGGCAUCAUCACAGUGACUGGAAUCAAGAGAGGACCUGCAUUGGAAGGGUGCACUGGCAACACAGAAUGAUGGCGAGAAAACCCUCAGAGGCCUUUCCACAGCCUCCAGGAGAUUGCCUGACAUGGACAUGGAGGAGGGACAGCUGUUGUGUGGGCCACCAAUGCUGCUCAAACCAAGGGUCUGUGAUAGACUGUUGUUCGCCGAGAGCACUGAACCAUCCUGUAUCUGAUGUUGGACAUUCAGAGGCAGCAGUAGAUCCCCUUGGCCUUGGGAAUGAGUCCAUGCAGCUGGGCCCACGCAGCACUUCCAUCUCAGCCACUGUGGCCACUCCAUUUACAUGUCAAUUGCACCAAUGAUGAAGGCGGGCUAAUGUCCAAUGGCCAGGUAAUUUGUAAUGACCUAUUUGGGCAUUUAAUAUUCUCAUGUAGUGGAUACUUUCUGGUGGGUGUUAGCAUGUGAUACAUAUAUCUUCAGGCUUCUUGCCUACUCCUAUAUGUCCUUCCACAUGCUUUACUGAUGAUAUGGGGCACCCCUCCCAAUAUGACCAUAGAUGCAGUUUGGGGAAGGGCCUUAGUACAGCAGUGUGAGUACUCCCUCAUGCAACUUACUUGUGCCCUUUGGUUCUGCUCAGGUUUGAU